rnacentral:rRNA from 1 species
UACGAAGGGGGGCGAGCGUUGUUCGGAAUUACUGGGCGUAAAGGGCGCGCAGGCGGCUCUGAAAGUCAGAUGUGAAAGCCCCGGGCUUAACCUGGGAACUGCAUUUGAUACUCUAGAGCUUGAGUACGGGAGAGGAGAGUGGAAUUCCCAGUGUAGAGGUGAAAUUCGUAGAUAUUCGCAAGAACACCAGUGGCGAAGGCGGCUCACUGGCCCGGAACUGGACGCUGAGGCGCGAAAAGCUAGGGGGAGCAAACAGG